rnacentral:rRNA from 1 species
UGGGGAAUUUUGGACAAUGGGGGAAACCCUGAUCUAGCCAUCCCGCGUGUGCGAUGAAGGCCUUCGGGUUGUAAAGCACUUUUGGCAGGAAAGAAACGUCAUGGGCUAAUACCCCGUGCAACUGCCGGUACCUGCAGAAUAAGCACCGGCUAACUACGUGCCAGCAGCCGCGGUAAUACGGAGGGUGCAAGCGUUAAUCGGAAUUACUGGGCGUAAAGCGUGCGCAGGCGGUUCGGAAAGUAAGAUGUGAAAUCCCAGGGCUCAACCUUGGAACUGCCUUUUUAACUCCCGGGCUUGAGUGUGUCAGAGGGAGGUGGAAUUCCGCGUGUAGAAGUGAAAUGCGUAGAUAUGCGGAGGAACACCGGUGGCGAAGGCAGCCUCCUGGCAUAACACUGACGCUGAUGCGCGAAAGCGUGGGGAGCAAACAGG